ACGCUGGCGGCAGGCCUAACACAUGCAAGUCGAGCGGCAGCACGGGUACUUGUACCUGGUGGCGAGCGGCGGACGGGUGAGUAAUGCCUAGGAAUCUGCCUGGUAGUGGGGGAUAACGCUCGGAAACGGACGCUAAUACCGCAUACGUCCUACGGGAGAAAGCAGGGGACCUUCGGGCCUUGCGCUAUCAGAUGAGCCUAGGUCGGAUUAGCUAGUUGGUGGGGUAAUGGCUCACCAAGGCGACGAUCCGUAACUGGUCUGAGAGGAUGAUCAGUCACACUGGAACUGAGACACGGUCCAGACUCCUACGGGAGGCAGCAGUGGGGAAUAUUGGACAAUGGGCGAAAGCCUGAUCCAGCCAUGCCGCGUGUGUGAAGAAGGUCUUCGGAUUGUAAAGCACUUUAAGUUGGGAGGAAGGGCAGUUACCUAAUACGUAUCUGUUUUGACGUUACCGACAGAAUAAGCACCGGCUAACUCUGUGCCAGCAGCCGCGGUAAUACAGAGGGUGCAAGCGUUAAUCGGAAUUACUGGGCGUAAAGCGCGCGUGGGUGGUUUGUUAAGUUGAAUGUGAAAUCCCCGGGCUCAACCUGGGAACUGCAUGCAAAACUGGCAAGCUAGAGUAUGGUAGAGGGUGGUGGAAUUUCCUGUGUAGCGGUGAAAUGCGUAGAUAUAGGAAGGAACACCAGUAGCGAAGGCGACCACCUGGACUGAUACUGACACUGAGGUGCGAAAGCGUGGGGAGCAAAC
rnacentral:rRNA from 1 species